rnacentral:rRNA from 1 species
CACGUAGGGGCCAAGCGUUGUCCGGAUUUAUUGGGCGUAAAGAGCGUGUAGGCGGCCAGGUAGGUCCGUUGUGAAAACUCGGGGCUCAACCUCGAGACGCCGAUGGAAACCAUCUGGCUAGAGUCCGGAAGAGGAGAGUGGAAUUCCCGGUGUAGCGGUGAAAUGCGCAGAUAUCGGGAAGAACACCCGUGGCUAAGGCGGCUCUCUAGUACGGUACUGACGCUGAGACGCGAAAGCGUGGGGAGCGAACAGG